rnacentral:lncRNA from 1 species
UUAUAAGUGUAUUUUAUAUUCAUAAAGAUUUAAUUUCUUAAUAAACUCCACAGAGCUGAGUUGAUGAUAAUUAAUUUAAAACAAACCAAGGGAAUACCACUUUUCAAUAGUUUUAUAUUCUCAAUAAUUGAAGGUAACUUGUUAGCAAAUAAAAGACUAAUAAAUUGCUUUAAUUUAAAUAAAUGAUUUUCCAUUAUUUCCUAGCAUGAAGACCCGUGGAGUGGUUUCAUUUCACCCUGGACAAGAAAAGAAAGAACAGAAAUUGGGAUAAUGAAGCUCCAUCUUCUUAUCCGAUUUCAGAAGCUUGAAAGGGCAGCCUGGAGUCAGGAGGUCUAGACCGGGAUCUGCCGGUCAGCUACGCUGCUCUCGGCUAGACUCACUCACAUGUCUGUGGGUUGCCUGGGGGCUAGUUGAUCCAGGCUGGUGGACUGGAGCAGCUUGGCUGGAUGGCUCUGUUCCACGAGUGACUCGUCCUUGCUUGGCAGGCAAGCCAGGCAUGAACUUCUCGUAUCAGGCAGAAACACAAGAAGGCCAAUAGAAACACUCAGACCUUUUAAAACCUAAGCUGGAACUGGCACAAUUUAGAAAGAGGUAUGGAAACAGGGGGGUGGGUUUAAAGAAUUUGGAGCUAAUAAUGCAAUUUACCACAAAGACCAGGAACAUUUAAUGUAAUCAAUUUUCUCGUUUUUUUAUUUAAACACAAGGGCAGUAUUAUUUUGCAAAGUACCAGAUCUGGCUCCCUUUAUGUGAUAUUUCUUUAGAACUUCAUUUUCCUCUCUGUGUUCCAAACUCAAUUUACUUUGUCUUGAGCGGGUUAGGGAAAAGUCUUCAAUUCCAGGCUGUUUUUUCACUCCUUUGCAAAGAAUUUUAGUCAAAAUGCUUGCUGUUUUUUAAUUGAUAAGUUUAACUAAGGCCUUAUAAUUUCAGAAAUAUAAAAGUACAGUAAUUAUAUACACCUUGAAGACAAUAUCCAAAUAUUUCAGUCCAAAGGCAGCACAGUAAGCUUCACUAAUUAUGUCAUAAAAGUAAAACCAAAUGAAGCCGCAGUCUAGAAUUUAGGCCUAGACCCAUGAAAGGCAUUUCCCUAGUGCAUAGCUAUGUGAAAUUUGAAAAUAACUGGGGCUGAUUUCCGAGGAGAGGGGAUGAAGGAUUGCAUAUUCUAGU